rnacentral:rRNA from 1 species
UACGAAGGGUGCAAGCGUUAGUCGGAAUUACUGGGCGUAAAGCGUGCGCAGGCGGUCUUUUAAGUCAGAUGUGAAAUCCCCGGGCUUAACCUGGGAACUGCGUUUGAAACUGGAAGGCUUGAGUGUGGCAGAGGGGGGUGGAAUUCCACGUGUAGCAGUGAAAUGCGUAGAGAUGUGGAGGAACACCGAUGGCGAAGGCAGCCCCCUGGGCUAACACUGACGCUCAUGCACGAAAGCGUGGGGAGCAAACAGG